GGGGCUAUAGCUCAGUUGGGAGAGCGCCUGCUUUGCACGCAGGAGGUCUGCGGUUCGAUCCCGCAUAGCUCCA
rnacentral:tRNA from 1 species